GAGUGAGAAACGUAACAGGUAUGAAGAAUGAGAGGGAAUGUUGGAGUGAGAAACGUAACAGGUAUGAAGAAUGAGAGGGAAUGUUGGAGUGAGAAACGUAACAGGUAUGAAGAAUGAGAGGGAAUGUUGGAGUGAGAAACGUAACAGGUAUGAAGAAUGAGAGGGAGUGAGAAACGUAACAGGUAUGAAGAAUGAGAGGGAAUGUUGGAGUGAGAAACGUAACAGGUAUGAAGAAUGAGAGGGAGUGAGAAACGUAACAGGUAUGAAGAAUGAGAGGGAGUGAGAAACGUAACAGGUAUGAAGAAUGAGAGGGAAUGUUGGAGUGAGAAACGUAACAGGUAUGAAGAAUGAGAGGGAAUGUUGGAGUGAGAAAUGUAACAGGUAUGAAGAAUGAGAGGGAAUGUUGGAGUGAGAAACGUAACAGGUAUGAAGAAUGAGAGGGAGUGAGAAACGUAACAGGUAUGAAGAAUGAGAGGGAAUGUUGGAGUGAGAAAUGUAACAGGUAUGAAGAAUGAGAGGGAAUGUUGGAGUGAGAAACGUAACAGGUAUGAAGAAUGAGAGGGAGUGAGAAACGUAACAGGUAUGAAGAAUGAGAGGGAGUGAGAAACGUAACAGGUAUGGAUGUGGUGGAAACGUGCGUUUGAGCAGGUGUGAUGUCAUUGAUGUUUGUUGGAAUUUGUGUGCAUCUAUCUAUUGCAUUCUGUCUAUGUAUGGUUUCUGUGGUCAUUUUUUAAAAUUAAUAACAAAAAACACCUCGUUUCCGUUUCAAACCAUUUUGCUAGCGUUUGUACUGCAUAGGAUGGAUUUG